rnacentral:rRNA from 1 species
UGGGGAAUAUUGCACAAUGGGCGCAAGCCUGAUGCAGCCAUGCCGCGUGUGUGAAGAAGGCCUCGGGUUGUAAAGCACUUUCAGCGAGGAGGAAGGUGGUGAGCUUAAUACGCUCAUCAAUUGACGUUACUCGCAGAAGAAGCACCGGCUAACUCCGUGCCAGCAGCCGCGGUAAUACGGAGGGUGCAAGCGUUAAUCGGAAUUACUGGGCGUAAAGCGCACGCAGGCGGUUUGUUAAGUCAGAUGUGAAAUCCCCGGGCUCAACCUGGGAACUGCAUUUGAAACUGGCAAGCUAGAAGUCUCGUAGAGGGGGUAGAAUUCCAGGUGGUAGCGGUGAAAUGCGUAGAGAUCUGGAGGAAUACCGGUGGCGAAGGCGGCCCCCUGGACGAAGACUGACCGCUCAGGUGCGAAAGCGUGGGGAGCAAACA